CCUUUAGAGUUUGGACCUGGCUCAGAUUGAACGCUGGCGGCAGGCCUAACACAUGCAAGUCGAGCGGAAACGACUUAUCUGAACCUUCGGGGAACGUUAAGGGCGUCGAGCGGCGGACGGGUGAGUAAUGCCUAGGAAAUUGCCUUGAUGUGGGGGAUAACCAUUGGAAACGAUGGCUAAUACCGCAUAAUGCCUACGGGCCAAAGAGGGGGACCUUCGGGCCUCUCGCGUCAAGAUAUGCCUAGGUGGGAUUAGCUAGUUGGUGAGGUAAUGGCUCACCAAGGCGACGAUCCCUAGCUGGUCUGAGAGGAUGAUCAGCCACACUGGAACUGAGACACGGUCCAGACUCCUACGGGAGGCAGCAGUGGGGAAUAUUGCACAAUGGGCGAAAGCCUGAUGCAGCCAUGCCGCGUGUAUGAAGAAGGCCUUCGGGUUGUAAAGUACUUUCAGUCGUGAGGAAGGGGGUAACGUUAAUAGCAGCAUCUCUGACGUA
rnacentral:rRNA from 1 species